rnacentral:lncRNA from 1 species
UUACUACCUCCAGGCUUUAGGGGAUUGGGGGAGGGAGUGGCACAGUGUGAACCCAGUGUGGUUGUGAGAAAAGGGAUUCCCUCAGCAGCCAUGGCCAAGGUUAGAGUCUCCACUGCCAAAUUGCAUCCAGGUGGUGAGGGAAUGGAGAAUAGGGGUGGGGUAACAAACUCUGACCUCGGUAUCCCCAAAGGGCAAAGGAUUCCAGGUGGUACAGUUCGUAAAGAUUAGCCUCAGGGCACAGAACAGGGCAGAGAAGAAUGGAGAAUUGAUCUGGAGGAAACAAACAAUGGCUUGCCCAUGUUAUUGCAGGGAGAGUAGGCCGGUGUGCACAGCAGGAGGGUGGGGAGCCCAGCAUAUAGCUGUGUUGGGGCCUGUGCAGAUCAGCCUCACUGGCAUGGAGGAUCUGAGCCGAGAGGUGGUGGAAGAUGAAAUCGAGUAGGCAUGUUGGUAGUCCUAAAUAUCAAGUAAAUGUUCCUUAUCUUACAUUGAUACUCAAUAGUAAGCCAAUUUUGUUUCCCAUAAGCCAAUAUUAAUAUUACAUAUUUCUUUUAUAAGCCAGAGAUAUAGAGAGAUAUCCUAGAAGAAUGAUAGGGGAAAGGAAGGCAAGGGUGAGAGAAGACCUUGUGUGAAUAUUUGUCCAAAAUGUUUAUCCACAGGAACAAUCCCUUUGUGAAGGCUGCUGGUGUGUGAAUGUGUGCCGGUUCCCUUGGGGCGUUCAUUUGGAUCUUUCUGUGUUCCAGUGACCUACGGCAUGAUGAGCUCCAAUGUGUACUACUACACCCGGAUGAUGUCACAGCUCUUCCUAGACACCCCCGUGUCCAAAACGGAGAAAACUAACUUUAAAACCCUGUCUUCCAUGGAAGACUUCUGGAAGGUUCACAGAAGGCUCCUUA